rnacentral:misc_RNA from 1 species
UCAAACUUGGUCAUUUAGAGGAAGUAAAAGUCGUAACAAGGUUUCCGUAGGUGAACCUGCGGAAGGAUCAUUAACGAGUGCUUUGAAGUGGGCUUGAUGCUGGUGCUUUUUAAGUGCAUGUGCUCAGCUCGCGCUCAAUUCCACUUAACCCCUGUGCACUAUUCGGAGUGUGUUGUCUGUAUACCUUUUUCUUUACUUCUCUUCUAUUGAAGGGAGGGUCAUGCGAAGGGGGGGAAAGGAUGGCAUCUCCGGUUAUCAUUACAAACUCUUCAUUGUGUAUUGUAGAAUGUAUUACCUUUUUAAAAGGUGAAAUUGAAAUACAACUUUCAACAACGGAUCUCUUGGCUCUCGCAUCGAUGAAGAACGCAGC